rnacentral:tRNA from 1 species
GCCCGGGUGAUGGAAUUGGUAUUCAUGCGCGACUCAAAAUCGUGUGGCAGUAAUGUCGUGGGAGUUCGAGUCUCCCCCCGGGCA